UUUUUUUUUCAAAUCAUAGCAGAUUCUAGGCAGCUAGAGGAAUUGAAUGGAUGGAUUGCAUGUGUAAUCUGUAAGUUCUAUUUGAGAGCAAACACUUUGUGAUUUGUACAAAGACUUUCGGGAUGACAAGGAGAUUAGGAUUAGCACAUGUGGUAGACUUUUUGGAGUUGUAUUACUUUGGUAUUCAAGUCAGAAAUGUUCUUAGAUGAACUAGAACUCUUCUAGCUGAUUUAUGCAUAAGUGAUUUUCGGUGAUAAGGUUUAUCUUUGAUAAGGUUUUCUUGAUGGGAGGACUCUUAAUCAAAGACCAUCGUAUACGGUAUAUAACUGAGGUCCCUGCACUCUUAUUAAACACGCAAGUUUACAGAAAUACUCUAGCCUCAUUGAGUGAGCCUUGCUUUUGGUUAGUGUAGAGUUGCAGAAGAACUUUAAUUUCUUGCCCUAGCUUGU
rnacentral:lncRNA from 1 species